UUAAAUCAGUUAUGGUUCCUUGGAUCGUACCCCACUACUGGAUAACUGUGGCAAUUCUAGAGCUAAUACAUGCAGCAGAGCUCCGACCUUCGGGGACGAGCGCUUUUAUUAGACCAAAACCAAUCGGGCCUCGUGUCCGUGAAACGUGGUGACUCUGUAUAACUUUGGGCUGAUCGCACGGGCUUGUCCCGGCGACGUAUCUUUCAAGUGUCUGCCUUAUCAACUGUCGAUGGUAGGUUAUGCGCCUACCAUGGUCGUAACGGGUAACGGGGAAUCAGGGUUCGAUUCCGGAGAGGGCGCCUGAGAAACGGCGACCACAUCCAAGGAAGGCAGCAGGCGCGCAAAUUACCCACUCCCGGAACGGGGAGGUAGUGACGAAAAAUAACAAUACGGGACUCUUUUGAGACCCCGUAAUUGGAAUGAGUACACUCUAAAUCCUUUAACGAGGACCCACUAGAGGAAAAGUCAGGUGCCAGCACCCGCGGUAAUUCCUGUUCUAGUAGUGUAUAUUAAAGUUGUUGCGGUUAAAAAGCUCGUAGUUGGAUCUCAGUUCGAGUCGGGUGGUCCCCCAACCGGGGGCUACUGCCUGUUCUCAACACCAGCCGGUUUCUCUAGAUGAUCUUCACCGGUUGUCUUGGGUGACCGGCAAGUUUACUUUGAAAAAAUUAGAGUGCUCAAAGCAGGCGCGACGCCUGAAUAAUGUUGCAUGGAAUAAUGAAAUAGGACCUCGGUUCUAUUUUGUUGGUUUUCGGAACAAGAGGUAAUGCAUUAAGAGGGACAGACGGGGGCAUUCGUAUUGCGACGCUAGAGUUAAAGGAAUUGACGGAGGGGCACCACCAGACGUGGAGCCUGCGGCUUAAUUUGACUCAACACGGAAAACUCACCCGGCCCGGACACAGGAAGGAUUGACAGAUUGAGAGCUCUUUCUUGAUUCUGUGGAAGGUGGUGCAUGGCCGCUCUUAGUUGGUGGAGCGAUUUGUCUGGUUUAUUCCGAUAACGAACGAGACCCUAGCCUACUAAAUAGACGUCCCGAUUCUUCUCGGUCGGGCGUUCUUCUUAGAGGGAUAAGUGGCGUUUAGCCGCACGAAACGGGGCAAUAGCAGGUCAGUGAUGCCCUCAGAUGUCCGGGGCCGCACGCGCGCUACAUUGAAGGAAUCAGCGUGUGCUUUCCCUGUCCGACAGGACUGGGUAACCCGUUGAACCUCCUUCGUGCUGGGGAUAGGAAAUUGUAACUGUUUUCCUUGAACGAGGAACGCCUAGUAAGCGCGAGUCAUAAGCUCGUGCUGACUAUGUCCCUGCCCCUUGUGCACACCGCCCGUCGCCACUACCGAUUGAAUGACUUAGUGAGGACAUCGGACUGGCGCUCGGACUGGCCUUCGGUCGGGCCGCGUGCCGGAAAGAUGUCCAAACUUGACCAUUUAGAGGAAGUGAAAGUCGUAACAAGGUUUCC
rnacentral:rRNA from 1 species